rnacentral:rRNA from 1 species
AUACAUGAGCAAAAUCUCAACUGUUUUAGAAGAGAAGCAUUUAUUAGAUAAAAAACCAGUAUAUGUUUUUAAAGCAUAAAAGUUGGUGAUUUAUAAUAACUAAGCAAAUCGCACAGUGUAAACUGGCGAUAAAUCAUUCAAGUUUCUGACCUAUCAGCUUUCGACGGUAAGGUAUUGGCUUACCGUGGCAGUGACGGUUAACGGGGAAUUAGGGUUCAAUUCCGGAGAGGGAGCCUGAGAAACGGCUACCACAUCUAAGGAAGGCAGCAGGCGCGCAAAUUACCCAAUUCUAACAGCAUAAGAGAGGUAGUGACAAGAAAUAACAGUACAAGGCAGUUAAAAUGCUUUGUAAUUGGAAUGAUAGAAAUUUAAAUACUUUUUAAAGUAUCAAUUGGAGGGCAAGUCUGGUGCCAGCAGCCGCGGUAAUUCCAGCUCCAAUAGCGUAUAUUAAAAUUGUUGCAGUUAAAAAGCUCGUAGUUGAAUUUUUGCUAAAAAUAACCGGUCUGCUUUUAUUAUUAAAAGUGGCAUCUUGGUGUGUUUUUAGCAAUAAUGUCCUUUGAAAUGUUUUUUACUUUAUUGUGAGAAGCAAUUUUCAGGAUUUUUACUUUGAGAAAAUUAGAGUGUUUCAAGCAGGCUAACGUUUUGAAUACUGCAGCAUGGAAUAAUAAG